GCGCUUGUAGCUCAACCGGAUAGAGUACCGGCCUUCGAAGCCGGGUGUUGGGGGUUCGAGUCCCUCCAGGCGCGCCA
rnacentral:tRNA from 2 species